GACGAACGCUGGCGGCGUGCCUAAUACAUGCAAGUAGAACGCUGAAGAGAGGAGCUUGCUCUUCUUGGAUGAGUUGCGAACGGGUGAGUAACGCGUAGGUAACCUGCCUUUUAGCGGGGGAUAACUAUUGGAAACGAUAGCUAAUACCGCAUAACAAUGGAUGACACAUGUCAUUUAUUUGAAAGGGGCAAUUGCUCCACUACAAGAUGGACCUGCGUUGUAUUAGCUAGUAGGUGAGGUAAUGGCUCACCUAGGCGACGAUACAUAGCCGAACUGGGAGGGUGAUCGGCCAACCUGGGACUGAGACACGGCCCAGACUCCUACGGGAGGCAGCAGUAGGGAAUCUUCGGGAAUGGGGGCAACCCUGAACGAGCAACGCCGCGUGAGUGAAGAAGGGUUUCGGAUCGUAAAGCUCUGUUGUAAGUCAAGAAAGGGUGUGAGAGUGGAAAGUUCACACUGUGACGGUAGCUUACCAGAAAGGGACGGCUAACUACGUG
rnacentral:rRNA from 1 species